UACGGGGGGGGCAAGCGUUGUUCGGAAUUACCGGGCGUAAAGGGCUCGUAGGUGGCCAACUAAGUCAGACGUGAAAUCCCUCAGCUUAACUGGGGAACUGCGUCUGAUACUGGAUGGCUUGAGUUUGGGAGAGGGAUGCGGAAUUCCAGGUGUAGCGGUGAAAUGCGUAGAUAUCUGGAGGAACACCUGCGGCGAAGGCGGGUUGCUGGGCUGACACUGACGCUGAUGCGCGAAAGCCAGGGGAGCGAACGGG
rnacentral:rRNA from 1 species